AUUGACUCAGAAAAAGAUUCUGAGCCGAUUGGUAUACUUUAAGCGGUAAAUAACAUCAAACAGAAGAUGGCAGCCCUGUCUCCAAACUAGACUACAUCAGGCUAAUCCCCUACUAUAGUUAAAUAUAUGUAACUAGGAUUACAAACAUGCGAACACAGAGAAUGAACACACAAUCAAGCACCCUGAUGAUAACCCCCGCACGCCUCCCUGAUAAAAUUUGCUGCAUGAAACGUUAACCCUUUCUACCAAGUGGGAAAAUUAGCACAAUUAACAGCAAAAUGUAAUAAGCUUAAUAUAUCGGUUCUCGUUAUCAGCAAAAUGAGAUGAACAUAUUAUGGGGAAACACAGUAAAAUAGAACUGUUAAUACGAGGAUAUAUUAUUGGUGGAUUUCUAACAGUUCUCGUAAAUUUAAAUAAUAUUCUACAAAUUUGUUUUUAAAUAUAUUAAUUGGGAAAGUAAAACUCCUUAAGCUCCUGGUAGAGAAUUCCAAAUCCUAGUAGUUCUAACACGAAAAGAUCUUUCAUAGAUAGAACUGUUAAUUUAAAUAAUUGUACCAAGUACUCCGGAAAACCUUCGACAAUAAUUUUAUAAAAUUUCAACAUUACCCUAAUAUCAAUAAAACUCCUAAAUUUACACCCUAAGCAGUUACAUGAGAUCUAAUGUAUCUCAUGUAAUGUACAAUUCUAUUGAAUGUACAAUUCUAUUGAAGAGAAGAUGACAUCUACGCAUUAAACGACCACAAAAUUCAGUAAAAACUUCAGCAGAAUACAACAUGUUAGACAUCAAUAAAGCAUAAGCAAUGUUCUUAUGUAGGCAAAUAUAAAUAAAUAUAUAUCCAAAGAAUACAAACUACGAAGUGUAUAAUUUAUUCUGUUACAUAGCCAAUAAAUAUGAUGUUCAAAACUAAGGUGACAAUCAAUAUAAACUCCAAGACAUUUAACAUACUCUAAAAACUCAAUACUAACAUAAUACAAAGAACAUACAGAACGACAUUGACCACACUGAACAA